ensembl:snoRNA small nucleolar RNA SNORA77
GCAGACAAUACUCUGUUCUUUACUGUCACUCCAGUCUGGAACUUUUUGUGUCUGCUAGAUAAAUGUCAGAAUAUAUCCACUACUGGCUUUUUCUGAAAAGCUGGAUCGGCUAUGUUCUGCCACAUGU